GAUGAACGCUAGCUACAGGCUUAACACAUGCAAGUCGAGGGGUAACGAGAGGAAAGCUUGCUUUCCUUGUCGACGACCGGCGCACGGGUGAGUAACGCGUAUCCAACCUGCCCCCAACUAGGGAAUAACCUUGCGAAAGUAAGACUAAUACCCUAUAAUUUCCUCAGAUGACAUCUGACGAGGAAUAAAGAUUUAUCGGUUGUGGAUGGGGAUGCGUCUGAUUAGCUUGUUGGCGGGGUAACGGCCCACCAAGGCAACGAUCAGUAGGGGUUCUGAGAGGAAGGUCCCCCACAUUGGAACUGAGGCACGGGCCAAACUCCUACGGGAGGCAGCAGUGAGGAAUAUUGGUCAAUGGGCGGAAGCCUGAACCAGCCAAGUAGCGUGCAGGAUGACGGCCCUAUGGGUUGUAAACUGCUUUUAUACAGGAAUAAAGUUAGCCACGUGUGGUUAUCUGUAGGUACUGUAUGAAUAAGGACCGGCUAAUUCCGUGCCAGCAGCCGCAGUAA
rnacentral:rRNA from 1 species